AGUGAACGCUGGCGGUAGGCCUAACACAUGCAAGUCGAACGGCAGCAUAGUAAGAGCUUGCUCUUACGGGUGGCGAGUGGCGGACGGGUGAGGAAUACAUCGGAAUCUACUUUUUCGUGGGGGAUAACGUAGGGAAACUUACGCUAAUACCGCAUACGACCUACGGGUGAAAGCAGGGGAUCUUCGGACCUUUCGCGAUUGAAUGAGCCGAUGUCGGAUUAGCUAGUUGGCGGGGUAAAGGCCCACCAAGGCGACGAUCCGCAGCUGGUCUGAGAGGAUGAUCAGCCACACUGGAACUGAGACACGGUCCAGACUCCUACGGGAGGCAGCAGUGGGGAAUAUUGGACAAUGGGCGAAAGCCUGAUCCAGCCAUACCGCGUGGGUGAAGAAGGCCUUCGGGUUGUAAAGCCCUUUUGUUGGGAAAGAAAAGCAGCAGGUUAAUACCCCGCUGUUCUGACGGUACCCAAAGAAUAAGCACCGGCUAACUUCGUG
rnacentral:rRNA from 1 species